rnacentral:lncRNA from 1 species
UGCUGCUGCCAUAUGACCAGGAAUUAGAAAUUCAGCUUUGUAUCAGUGUCAUUUUGAUUAAGUCUGAGAUUCAGAAUCCUCACCUGUAAAAUGAGAGGAGCAUGGUUCUUUUUGAAUCCAUGGAGUCCCAUUUUUGACUCCCCAAAAUGUUUUGGGCAUCAUAGCCAGCACAAUAUCUUCUCUUCUUUCAAAAUGCUUGUGAGCUAUUGCAAAUGUACUAUCAGAAUCUCUGCUGAGGAAAUUCCUCUGAGAAGAGAGAAGAUGCAGAAAUAUCAAUUCUGACCUGAUGACAGAGGUGGGGAACAUUAGGAAAAGCAUUGGAUUUUUUUAGUUCCUAAGUGUAGAUAAUAUGCCCUGUUUAAAAGGAACACAUCUCUGAAAUAG